rnacentral:rRNA from 1 species
UACAGAGGUCUCAAGCGUUGUUCGGAUUCAUUGGGCGUAAAGGGUGCGUAGGUGGCGUCGUAAGUCGGGUGUGAAAUUUCGGAGCUUAACUCCGAAACUGCAUUCGAUACUGCGGUGCUUGAGGACUGGAGAGGAGACUGGAAUUUACGGUGUAGCAGUGAAAUGCGUAGAGAUCGUAAGGAAGACCAGUGGCGAAGGCGGGUCUCUGGACAGUACCUGACACUGAGGCACGAAGGCCAGGGGAGCAAACGGG